AUGGGGGGAGGGAAAAGGGUCCUUUGGCUCCGUUUGUUUUUCAUUGUAGCCGCUUUAGAAGGUGUCCAGUCGCAGGUGCAGCUGGUGGAGUCCGGAGGGGGUGUGAAAAAGCCCGGAGACUCUCUCCGCCUCUCCUGCAAAGGUUCCGGGUUCGCCUUCAGCAGCCACCGGAUGAGCUGGGUCCGACAGGCUCCUGGGAAGGGGCUGGAGUGGGUCGCCUACAUUUACAGCACCAGCAUAUACUACAGUGACUCGGUAAAAGGGCGAUUCACCGUCACCAGUGAUGACCCCAACAGUCUGUUGUACCUGGAAAUGACCGGCCUGAAGACCGAGGACACCGCCCGGUAU